CGGUAGCAAGCAACAGCUUGCUGCUUCGCUGACGAGUGGCGGACGGGUGAGUAACGUCUGGGAAACUGCCUGAUGGAGGGGGAUAACUACUGGAAACGGUAGCUAAUACCGCAUAACGUCGCAAGACCAAAGAGGGGGACCUUCGGGCCUCUUGCCAUCGGAUGUGCCCAGAUGGGAUUAGCUAGUAGGUGGGGUAACGGCUCACCUAGGCGACGAUCCCUAGCUGGUCUGAGAGGAUGACCAGCCACACUGGAACUGAGACACGGUCCAGACUCCUACGGGAGGCAGCAGUGGGGAAUAUUGCACAAUGGGCGCAAGCCUGAUGCAGCCAUGCCGCGUGUAUGAAGAAGGCCUUCGGGUUGUAAAGUACUUUCAGCGGGGAGGAAGGGAGUAAAGUUAAUACCUUUGCUCAUUGACGUUACCCGCAGAAGAAGCACCGGCUAACUCCGUGCCAGCAGCCGCGGUAAUACGGAGGGUGCAAGCGUUAAUCGGAAUUACUGGGCGUAAAGCGCACGCAGGCGGUUUGUUAAGUCAGAUGUGAAAUCCCCGGGCUCAACCUGGGAACUGCAUCUGAUACUGGCAAGCUUGAGUCUCGUAGAGGGGGGUAGAAUUCCAGGUGUAGCGGUGAAAUGCGUAGAGAUCUGGAGGAAUACCGGUGGCGAAGGCGGCCCCCUGGACGAAGACUGACGCUCAGGUGCGAAAGCGUGGGGAGCAAAACAGGAUUAGAUACCCUGGUAGUCCACGCCGUAAACGAUGUCGACUUGGAGGUUGUGCCCUUGAGGCGUGGCUUCCGGAGCUAACGCGUUAAAGUCGACCGCCUGG
rnacentral:rRNA from 1 species